GAAAGAAUUCUCCUGACAGCACAUCUCCAGCCCUCUGGUGGCUAGCAAACAGGGGACCGCAAACAGGGGAGUUUGAGAGGGGGAGAAGGAGAUUCCCACUGCUGAACGAAAAAGGUGCGAGUACUAACUUUGGGGAUGCUGUUCCGGGAAGAAGGACUGCUAAGCAGAGAUGAGGUCCACCUAUCAGGGAAGGGGAAGUGCAUAUUUGGAUACAGACUGGCUAACCUAGUGAGGAAGGCUUUAAACUACGUUUGAAGGGAGCAGGUGAUCAAAGCCCACAGGGAAAAGAGUCACAAAGUCUGCCAGCAACCAAAAGCAGAGAGGAAGAACA